GCUCGGGUCAUCCCGAGGC
rnacentral:rRNA from 7 species